rnacentral:sRNA from 1 species
AAAAACCUAUUAUCACUUCUAACAAGGAAACACUACUUAGGCUUUUAAGAUCGGGUUGCGGUUUAAGUUUUUAUACUCAAUCAUACACAUGACAUCAAGUCAUAUUCGACUCCAAAACACUAACCAAGCUUCUUCUUGCUUCUCAAAGCUUUCAUGGUGUAGCCAAAGUCCGUAUGAGUCUUUGGCUUUGUGUCUUCUAACAAGGAUACAAUUCUUACGGCUUUAAGAUCCGAUUGCGGUUUAAGUUCUUAUACUCAAUCAUACACAUGACAUCAAGUCAUAUUCUACUCCAAAACACUAACCAAGCCUCUUCUAGCUUCUCCAAGCUUUCAUGGAGUAGCCAAAGUCCGUACGAGUCUUUGGCUUUGUAUCUUCUAACAAGGAAACACUACUUAGGCUUUUAAGAUCGGGUUGCGGUUUAAGUUUUUAUACUCAAUCAUACACAUGACAUAAAGUCAUAUUCGAUUCCAAAACACUAACCAAGCUUCUUCUAGCUUCUCAAAGCUUUCAUGGUGUAGCCAAAGUCCGUAUGAGUCUUUGGCUUUGUAUCUUCUAACAAGGAAACACUACUUAGGCUUUUAAGAUCGAGUUGCGGUUUAAGUUCUUAUACUCAAUCAUACACAUUACAUCAAGUCAUAUUUGACUCCAAAACACUAACUAAGCCUCUUCUAGCUUCUCCAAGCUUUCAUGGUUUAGCCAAAUUCUGUAUGAGUUUUUGGCAUUGUAUCUUCUAACAAGGAAACACUACGUAGGCUUUUAAGAUUGGGUUGCGGUUUAAGUUCUUAUACUUAAUCAUACACAUGACAUAU